GAUGAACGCUGGCGGCGUGCCUAAUACAUGCAAGUCGAGCGAACAGACGAGGAGCUUGCUCCUCUGACGUUAGCGGCGGACGGGUGAGUAACACGUGGAUAACCUACCUAUAAGACUGGGAUAACUUCGGGAAACCGGAGCUAAUACCGGAUAAUAUAUUGAACCGCAUGGUUCAAUAGUGAAAGACGGUUUUGCUGUCACUUAUAGAUGGAUCCGCGCCGCAUUAGCUAGUUGGUAAGGUACCGGCUUACCAAGGCAACGAUGCGUAGCCGACCUGAGAGGGUGAUCGGCCACACUGGAACUGAGACACGGUCCAGACUCCUACGGGAGGCAGCAGUAGGGAAUCUUCCGCAAUGGGCGAAAGCUUGACGGAGCAACGCCGCGUGAGUGAUGAAGGUCUUCGGAUCGUAAAACUCUGUUAUUAGGGAAGAACAAAUGUGUAAGUAACUAUGCACGUCUUGACGGUACCUAAUCAGAAAGCCACGGCUAACUACGUG
rnacentral:rRNA from 1 species